CGCGUAGGCGGCUCGAAAAGUCAGGGGUGAAAUCCGGCAGCUUAACUGUCGCAGUGCCUUUGAUACUGUCGAGCUCGAGGGAUGUAGGGGUCUGUGGAACUUCCGGUGGAGCGGUGAAAUGCGUUGAUAUCGGAAGGAACGCCGGUGGCGAAAGCGACGGACUGGACAUCUUCUGACGCUGAGGCGCGAAAGCCAGGGAGCAAACG
rnacentral:rRNA from 1 species